GUUGUCGCACAGGUAGCAGCACCAGUGAAUACUAUUGAUGAGCUCACUGAUCUGGAUGGACUGAUUGGUAAGGAGAAAACCAUUGAGCAGCAGACUUUGGCACAGAAUAGUAAUCACAUCUCUGGUCAUUCCAAUGUAUCACCGGAUGCGUCAGUUUCAACAGCCAAAAACCAUGCAGUCAUAAGUAAUGUACAAGCCAUAAUAUCAACUGAACAGAUCGGGACAAUGCAGAAUGGUAGUCCAGCAGUCGUGGAUAUCUCUAGAGUUUCAACUCAGUUGGUUGAAAAAGUUGGACAGCAUGGGCAGCAACAAGCAUUGACAGCUGCGUCAGUUGAUACAACUCCAAAGUUACUGAUAGAAGAUGUGUCUCAAGUCACUGUUACAUCGACAAAUCAGGCUGACAAGGAAAGGGGAGUAUCAACAAUUCAUCAAACCGACUCAAUGCAGCCCAAACUGGUUAGCAGUCGGGGUACAAAGGAUGGUCAGCAACAAUCUUUGGCAGUUGUUACACCUCCAAAGGAUGCUGCAGAAUUGCAACCUCCAGUAUUUGCGUAUAAAGCACAUUCCAAUCAGUUGUUUGAAAUAGAGGAACAGCACGAAACUGUCGCAGCUUUUACUUCUAAUAGCCAAGGUGCAAAGGGUGGACAGACGACUGGACUCGAGAGACACCAAUGCAAUAUAUCAACGCCUGCUCAAUUAAAAAAUACAAAUAGACAACUACAGUCCAAACUUCAAAGUUCUACAACCAUAUCCAAUCAUACUUGGCCAAAGAGAAAGGACCUAGUCAGUAAAUCGAAACUGUAGAAAGACCAACGAGAUUACGAUGAUGAGGAGAGUUAGACCUAGUCAGUAAAUCGAAACUGUGGAAAGACCAACGAGAUUACGAUGAUGAGGAGAGUUGGUGUGAAGGUUUUACUGCUUAUUCAUCGGAAGAAGAUGAUCAAGAAUAUAGUGGAGAGGACAGCGAUGAUUCAGUCAAGCAAAAAUUUCAAAGGAAA
rnacentral:lncRNA from 1 species